GACUGCUUAGUUUAAAGUUAAAACAAAUGUUUUGAAAGCAUAAAAUAGGAAAGUAAUCCUAGCAAUCGCC
rnacentral:tRNA from 1 species